ensembl:lncRNA
GUUGGGACCUGUGUUCUCUAGUGAGAGGAUAAACACCUUUAACCUGACCCUCCUCUCCAGCCACUUCUUGCAAGCGCUAGAGGCUGCCAGAGUGGCACUCUUACAAGCAACAUGUGCUAUUUGGAACAUUCAAGGGGUUGGACCAGGGGACUACAAUGACAAAGCUUCCCUCAUAGUUUGAUGAGUGGGGGCAGUCUACCCCUGCCUUAGCAGGCUGGCAUCAAUCACACUGACUAUACUAGUCUUCUGUUAAUUGUCAAAACAGACUUGAGGAACAGACUGUAGGGAGAGCAUCAAGCUGCCUGCAUACAGCGC